AACGAACGCUGGCGGCAGGCCUAACACAUGCAAGUCGAGCGAGCAUUUCGGUGCUAGCGGCGGACGGGUGAGUAACGCGUGGGGACGUGCCCUUUUCUGCGGAAUCCUCCUGGUAAACUGGGGUUAAUACCGCAUAGGCCCUUUUGGGGAAAGAUUUAUCGGAGCAGGAUCGGCCCGCGUUGGAUUAGGUAGUUGGUGGGGUAAUGGCCCACCAAGCCGACGAUCCAUAGCUGGUUUGAGAGGAUGAUCAGCCACACUUGGACUGAGACACGGCCCAGACUCCUACGGGAGGCAGCAGUGGGGAAUCUUAGACAAUGGGGGCAACCCUGAUCUAGCCAUGCCGCGUGAGUGAUGAAGGCCUUAGGGUUGUAAAGCUCUCUCAGCUGGGAAGAUAAUGACGGUACCAGCAGAAGAAGCCCCGGCUAACUCCGUG
rnacentral:rRNA from 1 species